UACGGAGGAUCCGAGCGUUAUCCGGAUUUGUUGGGUUUAAAGGGAGCGUAGGCGGGUUGUUAAGUCAGUUGUGAAAGUUUGCGGCUCAACCGUAAAAUUGCAGUUGAUACUGGCAUCCUUGAGUACAGUAGAGGUAGGCGGAAUUCGUGGUGUAGCGGUGAAAUGCUUAGAUAUCACGAAGAACUCCGAUUGCGAAGGCAGCCUGCUGGACUGUAACUGACGCUGACGCUCGAAAGUGUGGGUAUCAAACAGG
rnacentral:rRNA from 1 species